UACGUAGGGGGCGAGCGUUAUCCGGAAUUACUGGGCGUAAAGCGCACGCAGGCGGUUCGCCAAGUUUGGAGUGACAGUUGUCGGCUCAACCGACAAAGGACUUCAAAAACUGGUGAACUUGAGGCCGGUAGAGGUGGGUGGAACUCCUGGUGGAGUGGUGAAAUGCGUAGAGAUCGGGAGGAACACCAGUGGCGAAGGCGGCUACCUGGACCAGCACUGACACUGAGGCACGAAAGCGUGGGGAGCAAACAGG
rnacentral:rRNA from 1 species